rnacentral:rRNA from 1 species
UACGGAGGGUGCAAGCGUUAUCCGGAAUCACUGGGUUUAAAGGGUGCGUAGGUUGCUCAAUCAGUCAGACGUGAAAUCUUGCGGCUUAACCGUAAAAUUGCUUUUGAUACUGUUGGGCUUGAAUUAGGUUGAGGUUGGCGGAAUGUGGCAUGUAGCGGUGAAAUGCAUAGAUAUGCCAUAGAACACCAAUUGCGAAGGCAGCUGACUAGACCUUAAUUGACACUGAGGCACGAAAGCGUGGGGAGCGAACAGG